rnacentral:rRNA from 1 species
GAUCAUGGCUCAGGAUGAACGCUAGCUACAGGCUUAACACAUGCAAGUCGAGGGGCAUCAGGAAGAAAGCUUGCUUUCUUUGCUGGCGACCGGCGCACGGGUGAGUAACACGUAUCCAACCUGCCCUUUACUCGGGGAUAGCCUUUCGAAAGAAAGAUUAAUACCCGAUGGCAUAAUGAUUCCGCAUGGUUUCAUUAUUAAAGGAUUCCGGUAAAGGAUGGGGAUGCGUUCCAUUAGUNUUGUGG